CAAUAGCGUAUAUUAAAGUUGUUGCAGUUAAAAAGCUCGUAGUUGGAUUUGUGGUUGAUGUUGGUUGCCCGACAUUCGUGUCGGUGCGUACCGGUGUCGCCAUCCUUGGGUGGAAUCUGUGUGGCAUUAGGUUGUCGUGCAGGGGAUGCCCAUCUUUUACUGUGAAAAAAUUAGAGUGUUCAAAGCAGGCUUACGCCGUUGAAUAUAUUAGCAUGGAAUAAUAAGAUAGGACCUCGGUACUAUUUUGUUGGUUUGCGCACUGAGGUAAUGAUUAAUAGGGACAGUUGGGGGUAUUCGUAUUCCAUUGUCAGAGGUGAAAUUCUUGGAUUUUUGGAAGACGAACUACUGCGAAAGCAUUUACCAAGGAUGUUUUCAUUAA
rnacentral:rRNA from 1 species